UUUUUCCACUCUCCGCCCCCCCCCCCCCGCCCAGCCCCCGCGAAAAAUUUUUAAUUUUAUUUAUAGGGAGGGGGGGGGUGGGGGGGGGGGGGGGGGGGGGGGGGGGG
rnacentral:miRNA from 1 species